rnacentral:rRNA from 1 species
GNGCUCACNGAGAGCUCAUGACUUCCAGAGCCGCAAAUCGUGCUCGGUAGCAUAAUCCUUUGUCUGUUAAUUUAAGACUAGAACAAGAAGAUUUAACAUUUAAAUAAAUUUCUAAAAUUUAUUAUUUAAAAUUAAUUUUUAUGUAAAAAAGCAUAAAUUAAUAAAAUAGACGAUAAGACCCUAUUGAACUUAACUUUAGUUAAACUGGGGCAGUUAAUCAAUUAACAUUUUAAUGUAUUAUAUUAAAUAAAAGACCUAAUAUAAUUAAUUAUAUGAAUAAGUUACCAUAGGGAUAACAGUGUAAUAUUAUUUUAAAGAUCUUAUUUAAAAUAAUGAUUGCAACCUCGAUGUUGAUUUAAUUUCCUAAAUAACGCAAUAGAUAUUUAAGGAAGUCUGUUCGACUUUUAAAUAAUUACAUGAUCUGAGUCAAAACCGGAGA